rnacentral:rRNA from 1 species
AUUGAACGCUGGCGGCAUGCUUUACACAUGCAAGUCGAACAGUAACAGGCCGCAAGGUGCUGACGAGUGGCGAACGGGUGAGUAAUGCAUCGGAACGUGCCCAGUCGUGGGGGAUAACGCAGCGAAAGCUGUGCUAAUACCGCAUACGAUCUAUGGAUGAAAGCGGGGGACCGGAAGGCCUCGCGCGAUUGGAGCGGCCGAUGUCAGAUUAGGUAGUUGGUGGGGUAAAGGCCUACCAAGCCGACGAUCUGUAGCUGGUCUGAGAGGACGACCAGCCACACUGGGACUGAGACACGGCCCAGACUCCUACGGGAGGCAGCAGUGGGGAAUUUUGGACAAUGGGCGCAAGCCUGAUCCAGCAAUGCCGCGUGCAGGAAGAAGGCCUUCGGGUUGUAAACUGCUUUUGUACGGAACGAAACGGUCUGGGUUAAUACCCCGGGCUAAUGACGGUACCGUAAGAAUAAGCACCGGCUAACUACGUGCCAGCCGCCGCCGUAAGAC